GGUGGGCGUUCAGGAACGGUCGUAAUAUUAUUGCAGGACAACCCUGUACCCGAUGAAAGCAUAACGCGUGUAACGGUAUUGGUAGGCGAUGGGUCGGGAGAGCGAUCCAUCAAUCGACGUUUAGAAGGAUUCACACCAGCAGCUUGAUGGGAGAGCUUAGAGGCCGCAACUGGAAUCGUGGUCGAUGAGUGCGUAGCAGGAAUCGCAGAAUGGUGAGCACUCGAUGUAGUAGUAUGCGUGGCAAGAUGAGAGUUGAGCUUGUUCAUUAGUGAGUUGAAGGAAGUGAGAAGCUCAAGGUGUAUGAGAUCAAGCUCCUUGAUGCCAUGCUUAACUUCAUCAAGCGUUGUGAGUAGUGGAGCCUGAGAGUAGUUGCGUUCCAUUGAGUGAGAAGCAGUAAGUGAGUCGAUGAUAUCUGUUGCGAAAGUCAUUUAAGAAAAGGAGAUAAUGUGGAUAUUUCUGCUGGGGAAAAAUCACAAAAUUAGUGUUUAUUCCUUCCUUUGACUUUUGUGGUUCUAAGAGACCGAAGGCGCAUCCUGCGGCUCUAUUUAUACUCGUCUCUCCCCACCGCCAUCGUUACAAAUGGAGGGCACCUUAGCCCUAUGCCCUGUCCUGGUAAGCCGUCAGAAAAACCCUACAAAAGUCACGAGCGUAAAAGAUUUGUCAGGCUUUCUAUUUGUAAACAAACGCUGUUCACAACAUUCUCCCCACCAGUGUAACGCUCCUUAGCGUUACACUUCCCUGACGUUUGUUUCCUGUCUUGCCCGUAACGCUUGUCAUUGUCAACCCACGCGGUUCUACUUCUUUUGUUUGUGUCCCAUACGAUCGCUUUAUGCCGCGAAGUUACGUUGCUGCCCAGAUUUGCUAAUAUUUAAAGGUUCCCCAAACAUUUCCGUUGUAGGGUUAACGUUCCAUGGCCGUGUCCGUAUUCACAAAUACAUCAUCGCACGAUGGUCGUAUCGGCUGUGAUGAAUUAUCAUCAGUUGCUGCUUUGUUUAGGUCUAAACUGCGUUGAUGCAUAUGGGAAAGUGCACGGUCCUGCAAAACAUUCUUAAAAUAACGAGAAAAUAUUUCGAACAGCCCAACAAGGCUGCGGAUUAACAAGAGGUACUACAUCCAGCACGCGAUUUGGAGGGAACGGCACCGCAUCACAUACCUCCAGCUGGCGAAGAUCCUCCCGCGGUUCAGUGGCACAAAUCGCCCAAUUUAUACGCCCAUCCCGUUCAGGAACCGGCUGGUCGGAAGCGUUGAUAUGGCUGGCGUCAGAUGGAGAGUAUUCCAUUACCUCGAUGUUUCGCAUCUCAUUCUCCUCUUUGUUGUAGGUGCAGUGAUGAAAAUUGCUGUACACGUCGGGGUUAACGGGCGCGGAUGCAGAACAUGUACCGUACACCGACCAUCCUAGCCUUGACUUUACUGCCAUUGGCUCGCCGAAUUUACCCUCGACGCACCGCGAUGGUUUUCCUAAAUAUAUAUU